rnacentral:rRNA from 1 species
UACGUAGGGGGCAAGCGUUGUCCGGAAUUAUUGGGCGUAAAGCGCGCGCAGGCGGUCCAUUAAGUCUGGUGUUUAAUCCCGGGGCUCAACCCCGGUUCGCAUCGGAAACUGGUGGGCUUGAGUGUAGGAGAGGAAAGUGGAAUUCCACGUGUAGCGGUGAAAUGCGUAGAUAUCGGGAAGAACACCCGUGGCGAAGGCGGCCAACUGGGCUGGAUCUGACGCUGAGGCGCGAAAGCGUGGGGAGCAAACAGG